UACAGAGGGUGCUAGCGUUGUUCGGAUUCAUUGGGCGUAAAGGGUGCGUAGGCGGCGCGGUAAGUCGGGUGUGAAAUCUCGGGGCUUAACUCCGAAACUGCAUUCGAUACUGCCGUGCUUGAGGACUGGAGAGGAGACUGGAAUUCAUGGUGUAGCAGUGAAAUGCGUAGAGAUCAUGAGGAAGACCAGUGGCGAAGGCGGGUCUCUGGACAGUUCCUGACACUGAGACACGAAGGCCAGGGGAGCAAACGGG
rnacentral:rRNA from 1 species